GCGGCCUAUCAGCUUGUUGGUGAGGUAGUGGCUCACCAAGGCGACGACGGGUAGCCGGCCUGAGAGGGCGACCGGCCACACUGGGACUGAGACACGGCCCAUACGGGAGGCAGCAGUGGGGAAUAUUGCACAAUGGGCGAAAGCCUGAUGCAGCGACGCCGCGUGAGGGAUGACGGCCUUCGGGUUGUAAACCUCUUUCAGCAGGGAAGAAGCGAAAGUGACGGUACCUGCAGAAGAAGCGCCGGCUAACUACGUGCCAGCAGCCGCGGUAAUAC
rnacentral:rRNA from 1 species